AUCAAACGAUCACCUUUCAUGUUGAAGUUGUUUGUUGAUAACAAAAUGUCGCAUUGUGCAUUUGCUGCUAACCUCUUUUACAUCUACAUUGUUCCCAACAGGGUGCUUUGGAUUGUCAACCAUUGUGCGUCUCUUGAAACUCAAAGCCACCCGCUAGCUUUGCUAAGGUUAACGUCGCAAUGCUAAUCUUGAGUUGUCAUUUAUGUAGGCUUACCUAACAAAGCUAGUGACUUUGGUUAAUUCUUAAUAUGCCCAUGCUUAGUUAACAUUAGAUAGUUCAUUGAAUUAUUGCUACUAGCCUUUCUGCCUCAACGACCGACGGCAAAGACUAGUCAAGACUAGAUAGCUAUGUGAUGACGACUGCUCAAGUUAGCUUUGGCGUUAGCUUAGCCAGGUUAUUUAAGUUUACUGCUUUAUCCGAAUGGAAAGGACUGAGCAUUAACUCAUGCGAACUGAUCAGGAAAUUGAAUUGAACAUCUCAUUAUCUCCGUGCUUAUUGUGUAGCAGUCGUUUAAAAUAUCAGUGUUUAAAAUUCGUUUUCUGUUCAUCCCCCACACAAUUAGCCGCGUAUUAGCUUGCUGCACUUAGCAGGAGGUUUAAAAGUUGGAUUGAUUCUCCGCUUUUCUGCAAGGUGCCACAUGACAUGAUAUAGGGAUUAUUGGUGUUAGAAGCAGCGAGUGAUAGUUUUAUAUAGAGUUAUUUAAUGUAGCUUGAAUACAGUCAUUAACCAGAGACCAUGCAUUGACGCUGACGAGCAAACUGUUGCUGCUGUUGUACAACCAAAUUUGCCAGCUGUCAAAUCGGUGGAGCGACAUCUAAUUUAAUGCAAAUCAUCUUACGCUGGUAACCGCUUUUUCUCACAAUUUAAGUGACCAUUGGAAACCAAGAUCAGCUGGUUAACUUCCUUAUUGCUCAAAGGAAUGACACAAGGUCACAUGAUAAUCACAUGAUGAGACUUCUGACUUGGAGUUGCCAUUUGGCUACUGAUCUGGAGCUUCUUUAAUAUAAAAGUAAAGGUUAACAAGUUUUCUCUCUUUUAAAGAAAAUAAGGCUAAUUUUACAGAAAAUUAUGAGCUUAACACUUCUGUUUAUCAGUGUUCAGGGAUGGUAAAUGGGAAGUGGCACAGAAAGUGAACUUUGAAACUGACUUGUUUUGUAAUUGGUCAUACUUGUUUUAUAGACCCUUUCGUAUUUUUAUUUGUCUUCCCAUAAUCCAAGGGAAGAACUGCAUCAUAUGCCAGCAGUACACUGUAACAAACUAAAUGUCUACAUGUGACUAGGCUGAUUGGUAGAGUGUGUGCAACUUCAGUGUGACAUCAACAAGCUACUAACUUGACCAUGUUGCAGAGGUUUUGACCUGUUGUAGCCUGAGGCCUUUUGGUGGAACGGGCUCAUUUAUGGUGGUGAAUGGUACACAGGAUUUCAUUUCAUUCAAUUCCUGUAGUGCAACACUGUAAAAUCUACUUAAAAAUUAUUUUCCUGUUGUAAUGUAAUCUUGGAUUUCAUCCUCACCUAUUUUAUCAUGGCUUUUAACAAAUUGUAUUGGAUUUCAUAAUAAUGACAAAUCUUAGAAGUCAUUUUGAGCUGGAGAUUUUAUUUGAGAAAUUUCUGGGAGAGAUCUGACCCGGUAACUGCUGUUUGGGAUAUUACCUUAGCCGUCACAAUAAGGUAUUGCAGGUCAUGACAUAAAAUUGUCCCAUGAUACAAAAAUAUAAAAUUAUAUUGUCAUGCCCUACCCAGAAAUGAGAAGCAGCUGGAUACCAGAGCCAACCCUGUUCUUGUCAUACCUCAGGUUUGAUGUGUAGCGAUGGGAAAGGGCAGCAUGGUGGUUGUGGUGUCCCUUGAGGCUAGCAGCAGCAGUACUAGUCUGUGGUGGUGAAGGAGUGACAGCUGGGGAAUUAGCUAGUAAGAAAGGGAUCAUGCCGGUACAAAGAAGGGAUGUGGUAGUGGUGGGAUGGACAGGGAGACUUGAUGAUUCAGGCUUCAGCUUGAAGGAUCUCAGUCUGUUGUAGAGUCACUGACAGGAAAUUGCAGCAUGCAGUCACUGUGGUCUACACAAGCUGAACAGCUAUGGACACAAUUAAAGAUUGUCAUCAUCAGUCAUAUUUUUGGGUGUUAAGCUAACAUCCAGUCUGUAGAAUAUUUAAAAAAAAAAAAUAAUGACAAAUUUGCAUCACAAGUUCUCACCCAGGUGGAUGGCUUAAAAAGUCGUCUUCUGAUUAUGAGAAGAAAUUAAUUGUGUUUAAUUUAAAGUAAUUAGCCUGUUUUCUGGAACAGGCUUUAAGUUGCAGUGAUGUUGCAUUGUUUUAGUAGUCUGAUGACAGUUGUGAGGGCUACCUCUAGUGAUGCCUGGUGCUGAACAGGUGACACUCACAAGGUGUUAUUAUCCAUGGGGGAAGCACCACCACACGUGAUAGAUGUGCUGCAGUGGUUCUGAUUUUCCACUACUUUACAUACUCUCUUAUCUAGCAGCCCACAUUUUCUCCUCUCUUAGACCAUGAAUAAUUGGCAUGACUGAUAAAUUUACUCGUGGGGGUGCUGAUCACAAUUUAAGACGUGUGUUCUCUGCAGUUUGUGCUUUUCCAAUUUCCUGCAGUGGUAGGCAUGUAUGUUAAUAGGAUAGCAUACAAAAUAUUUGUCACAGAGGAACUUAUUUUCUUCUGAUUAGUCAUUAUUCUUUAUUAUGCUUUCAGCUGCUUGACCUUAAAUUCACAUUGUCUUUCUCUCACUCUUCAUUUAAGAGAUGGUUUGGUGGCAGUCAAUGCUCCAGACAUUCCUCAGCUUCAGAUGCAAUAGAUUGUGUUUCCCUAUUCGCCCACUACGCAGAGCGAAUCAAUGUCUUGUCUUCUGCGUGGGCAUUUUACAUGCAAGAUCAUCCCCAGCUGGAGGCACCUCCUGCUGUGACGUCACAAGGCGUCACAAGGGCAUCCCAUACAUCAAAUAUUCUGCAGUGAGGAAAAAAGAAAAGAAGGGAAAAAGCUCUUUACCUAAGCUGAGGGGAUUAGGAUUAAAUCCCAGAGGUUGUGCCACCACACCACUGCAGAAGCAGCCCUGCCACAACAUCAGACCUUUAAUUGUCACGACAGAAUGGCAGUGUUUGCGGAUUCCAGUGUUUCUGUCAGCCCUCAGCUGUCACACCUCAGUGAGGACAAGCUUACGAAGAAAGAAAGGAGUCAGAGGAUAAUGUUACUGAUGGUAACGUAUUACAAAUGGAUGGCUAAAAGAAACAGCUGUUCAGAGAAAGGUUUAGGUGUUUAGUUAAAUUUUUUUUGGAUUAAAAAAUAUCUUAGCUGAACUGCUUAGGUAGGUUGUGUAUCCUUCUCGUGACGUGCAAGUCAGUUUUCUUCAUGUGAUGUAUCAUAUAGUUUGUGUUGGACUGAAAAAGAUUAGCCCUCUAGCAGAGUAUGGCACUUCCACAAAGUGAAAACAAAGCAAGACAAUCUCAUGUGUCAGGGCUUGCAAAAACAGUGCCCACUUAUACUCAGGCACAUCUCUGUAGAUGGGCAGGAGUGAUUUAACCUUGUAUUGAUGUCAUCAGUCUGUUGAUAAAUCGAUGUAAGUAGUUGGGGACGUGGCUGGCUGCCAUGUGCACAUUUGAAGAUUGGCCCAUAUCAUCUUUCUUUCUGCCUCUAGAUUGAUUUGCCAAAUAGCCUUAAAGCUAGACUCUGGAGUAAAUCAGAACUAUCUCCAGGCUUUUGCUCGAUGCAUUGUCACAUUGAGAGAACACAGGGCAGGUACCUCAGGCUGUAUGCACAAGGCUGUCUUCCAAGAUGAUAUCUCUACAGACUUCAGAUUUAAUCAUCAUAAGUAUGUUGCCUAUGAAAAGCCAAGAAAACUACAUUGGAAGAUUCUUGUUUAGGCACCAAUGGUAUGAUGAGAUCAGCACAUAAAUGGUGGGUUACUGUUUUGCACGUUUUCUUUGUUGAUGUUGCUUUACAAGAGUUCAUCCUGUUACAUAAGAUAAACUGGCUGUUAAGCGACUAUUUUGACAUCCUCUCACAAAUGACAUAGUAACGGCAAGAUUUGACGUUUUUGGGUCAGUGCAAAGCACUAGAUACUAAUCUGAAAAAGGGAAACAUCCCCAACUGUUCUAGAAUAAAUUGAGUGAAAAUAUGUGAUAAAUACUGAAGCACAGCCAAAACCAUGACCCAUAUAGUGAGCAUGUACGGACCAAUAUAUUAGAUGCUCUGCUGCGGUCUGUUUCAUCUCCGAGCUUUCACUUAAUCUUGCUUUUGCUGUUGAUGAGCAAAUAGACAUGAUCACGUUUACACACACCCCCCUCUGACAUGAGCAGAUCUAGUCAAACCAGCCUCAUGACACACUGCCCUGCUCUGACAGGCUUUGCUGGAUGUCGCAAAAGAGUCUCUCUCAUUUCACCUUAAGGCUGUUCAACUUUUUGUUUCGCAGAAUUAUAACUAGUUCCUGAUGGAUGGUUGCUAUUCUAUUUUUGGGUUAUAUAUAGUUUCUAAUAUUAGAGCAGCCUGAUUAUUAAUUUUUCUGCUUCACUCUCCUGCUGUCAGACUUGUCUGUGUGUGUGUGUGUGUGAGAGAGAGAGACACAUCAGUGGCACUUUGCAUUCUCCUCAGCGUCACAGGCCAACGGAGCCAACAUGCUGAUGGAGCUUUUUAUUCUCCUCCUUCCCCCGCUACAUUUCAGUGAUACUGGCCAGAGACAAUUGCGGACUGGAGAUAGAGCACAGCAGAUGUCGCAUGAGUGUGUACUGCUGGCCCCGCCCCCCAAAUGUACCUGUUUUGUGCUAAUGUUGGCUCUGGAGAUGUGGUAUCCUGCGUCUCUUGUGACGUCAGCAGGUCCCCUGUGUACUAAAGCCUAAUGAGGCUUUUUCAUUCACAGACUGAUUUACAACACUGCAGCAGGGUCAA